ACAGAGGUCCCAAGCGUUGUUCGGAUUCACUGGGCGUAAAGGGUGCGCAGGUGGGUUUGCAAGUUCGAUGUGAAAGCCCCGGGCUUAACCCGGGAAUGGCAUUGGAUACUGCAGAUCUGGAGGAUCGGAGGGGGGACUGGAAUUCUUGGUGUAGCAGUGAAAUGCGUAGAGAUUGGAAAGAACACCGAUGGCGAAGGCACUUUACUGGGCUAUUACUAACACUCAGAGACGAAAGCUAGGGUAGCAAAUGGGA
rnacentral:rRNA from 1 species